UACAGAGGUCUCAAGCGUUGUUCGGAUUUACUGGGCGUAAAGGGUGCGUAGGCGGCAAUUCAAGUCAGUUGUGAAAUCUCCGAGCUUAACUCGGAACGGUCAACUGAUACUGUUUUGCUAGAGUACAGAAGGGGCAAUCGGAAUUCUUGGUGUAGCGGUGAAAUGCGUAGAUAUCAAGAGGAACACCUGAGGUGAAGACGGGUUGCUGGGCUGAUACUGACGCUGAGUCACGAAAGCUAGGGUAGCAAACGGG
rnacentral:rRNA from 1 species